AUUAGGGUAUGAUGAUCUACUACGCCAAAACAGUUAUCCCUGUCCGAAUAACCGUGUGGAUAAGUCGUAUCUGACCCCUUU
rfam:Physcomitrella patens subsp. patens PHYPAscaffold_22 genomic scaffold, whole genome shotgun sequence.